rnacentral:rRNA from 1 species
AUUACWCUCAGGGAUCAUCGCGCUAACGSUUGGGUGUUUAGUGCCUGGACUCUGACUCUUGCUUCUCUUGAGAGCGGCGGACGGGUGAGUAAUGCCUAGGAAUCUGCCUGGUAGUGGGGGAUAACGUCCGGAAACGGACGCUAAUACCGCAUACGUCCUACGGGAGAAAGCAGGGGACCUUCGGGCCUUGCGCUAUCAGAUGAGCCUAGGUCGGAUUAGCUAGUUGGUGAGGUAAUGGCUCACCAAGGCGACGAUCCGUAACUGGUCUGAGAGGAUGAUCAGUCACACUGGAACUGAGACACGGUCCAGACUCCUACGGGAGGCAGCAGUGGGGAAUAUUGGACAAUGGGCGAAAGCCUGAUCCAGCCAUGCCGCGUGUGUGAAGAAGGUCUUCGGAUUGUAAAGCACUUUAAGUUGGGAGGAAGGGUACUUACCUAAUACGUGAGUAUUUUGACGUUCCGACAGAAUAAGCACCGGCUAACUCUGUGCCAGCAGCCGCGGUAAUACAGAGGGUGC